UGACUCUUGAUGUUUCCUCUCCCUUUAGCUUAUAUAUAUUUGCCUUCAACAGCAAAUUUCUAAUAAAACCAAACUUUGGAUAUUUCCAGGGCUUACCCUUAGCAAUUUUGAUCAUGCCGUUACUUGUGGGCCUCUUCAUGAAAUUACGAUGUUCUACAAAUGAAAAGGAACUUGAAGGAACUGGAAUACCAUAUUGCUUUAUAACUAGGCCAUGAGUCUAUAAUUUAGGUGAAAGAUCAGAGCCUAAGAUAAAGAUUUGGGAAAUCAUCAGUGCAUGGAUGAUAAUUAAAACCAAGAGAAUGCAUGAGAUCACCUAAUGAGAAAACGGAGAGAAGCAUAGUGAGUCCCUGAGUGAAGCAGCACAUCCUGGGAAAUGCAAUGACCACUGAAGUAGAACACAUUGAAGAUGAUCAGAGCCACAGAGGGGGGAGGAGAACAAGAAUGUUGCAUCAUAUAAACAAAGGGAAACAGGCCUCAGUCUAGCAACAUUUCUUCAACAUUUGGAAAUGUCUUAGAAUGUCUCUUGAGUAUUUGUCCAGGAUCACAUAGGAAUGAUCGUUGCCAGCCUCUAUUGGUGAGCUUUAAAUGUAUUUAAGCAACCCAAAUUUUCCUCUCAGUUCUUUUUCUUAACAUCUACAGUGUUGAUUAAUAUAUUAAGAAAUACUUUGUGUUACAUACAUGAUUUGCUGUCAUAUUACAUUGUAUAUAACAACAUUUUCUCUUUUAAAAGUAUCUUGGUUUAAGCAUUUCUGAAGAGAAAUACAACAGGAUUAUAAUACAGUGUUUUAUAAGUGUAAAAGUAUGUUAUUUAUGUUACUAGCUCUUUGAAAAAUCACUUUCUGCACCAUUGCUUUAAGUUUCAGCUGAAUGAAUGUAAAAUGAACCAUUCAUAACUUAGAAUUAAAGUAAGAGAAUUUGUCCUUUUUAAAAUGUAAGAAUGGAGCUGUAAGAUUGAUCUGCAUCUGAAAAAUGGGAAGUGGUCAGUUUCAUUAAAUAGAUAUGUUUUUCAGUGGAACAGAUUAUCACUAUGCAAAUAGAUAUUAAGUUAAAUUACUAAAUAGAUAAAGUUAAGAAUGUAACUAAGGCUGCAGUUAGCUUUAUUGUUAAAAGACUAUUGGUUAUUAAUAUUCUCUAUUUGGUCUCUUCUAAACUGCCUAAAUAUUAACAUAUUCUUGAUUAUUAAGAAUCUUUUUAUAUAGCAGUUAGAGGAAAAUAGGAAGAAAAACCAAACUGAUAGUUCUGAUUUGGUGAAGGAAAUGAUCAGGUAAAUCUUCAUCUAUACAAGGCAAGUAGUCAUUUGUUAUUUGACCUAUGAUUUUUUUCUUGCCUUCUUUUUUCUUGGCUGAUAUCUCCCUGCAUUAUCACCAUAACUGAGGCACUGUCAACUAAGUUCUUUUUAGGCAAUGAGUCAGAUGCUUCAGGAAACAUUUUUGGUGUGUACUAAUAUGCAUUGAGAGGGCAGUAGUGGUUCAGUGGUAGAAUUCCCGCCUUCCAUGCUGGAGACCUGGGUUCGAUUCCUGGCCAAUGUAUCUCAUGUUAGCUGAGGCUUGUGUGGUGCUAUAAUGCUGAACAGGCUUCAGCAAAGCUUCCAGACUAAGAUAGACUACGCAGAAAUGCCUGGGUAUCUAUUUCUGAAAAUCUGCCAUUGAAAAACCCUUUGGAUCAUAACAGUCCAACCCCGUUGUGCACGGGGUCACAAUGAGUCAGGGUCGGACUCUAUGGCAGCAACAAAACCAAGUAUGACUUCACUGGUUUGAGGACUGUAGGCAUUUCCUAUCGUAUACUAUAAACUUAGUAGUUCAAAACAACAUAGAUUUAUUAUC